AAACGCUUGAAGUCAGUCGCGUUGGCCAGGGAUCAACCUUGCUUUUUUUUGCUUGGCUUAUUUCCUGGUCAAUGGGUCAGCAUCAAUUUUGACUGAUGGAAAAAG
rnacentral:rRNA from 1 species